rnacentral:rRNA from 1 species
GAGGCCUACCAUGGUGGUAACGGGUAACGGGGUGUUAGGGCACGACACCGGAGAGGGAGCCUGAGAAACGGCUACCACAUCCAAGGAUGGCAGCAGGCGCGCAAAUUACCCAAUCCCGACACGGGGAGGUAGUGACAAUAAAUAACAAUACGGGGUUCUUUCGGAUCUCGUAAUUGGAAUGAGUACAAUUUAAAUCUCUUAACGAGGAACAAUUGGAGGGCAAGUCUGGUGCCAGCAGCCGCGGUAAUUCCAGCUCCAAUAGCGUAUAUUAAAGUUGUUGCAGUUAAAAAGCUCGUAGUUGAAUUUCGGGGUUAGUAGGUUGGUCAUGCCUCUGGUAUGUACUGGUCUCACUGAUUCCUCCUUCCUUAUGAACCGUAAUGCCAUUAAUUUGGUGUUGCGGGGAAUUUGGACUGUUACUUUGAAAAAAUUAGAGUGUUUAAAGCAAGCUAACGCUUGAAUACAUUAGCAUGGAAUAAUGAAAUAGGACGUUCGAUCUUAUUUUGUUGGUUUCUAGGAUUGACGUAAUGAUUAAUAGGGAUAGUUGGGGGCAUUAGUAUUCAAUUGUCAGAGGUGAAAUUCUUGGAUUUAUUGAAGACUAACUACUGCGAAAGCAUUUGCCAAGGAUGUUUUCAUUAAUCAAGAACGAAAGUUAGGGGAUCGAAGACGAUCAGAUACCGUCGUAGUCUUAACCAUAAACUAUGCCGACUAGGGAUCGGAU